CCAAAGAAAGAAAAGAAAGAAAAGAGAAAGAAAGAAAGAAAAAGAAAGAAGAAAGAAAGAGAAAGAAAGAAAGAAAAGAAUGAAAGAAGGAAGGAAAAGAAAAAGAGAGAAAAAGCAAAAAGAACUGACAAAAAGAGAAAGAAAGAGUGAAACAGAGAGAGGACAGAGGAAAGACAAUUCCAGUAUACUUUCUAGUAGUUUUCAGCAAAGGACUCUAAUAAUUAGAGUACCAGAGGAGGCAUGCAAAGGAUAAUUACUUAAGAAAAGCAAAAUGGUGCAACAUUACUGUAAGCCAGAGGAAGAAGGCUAUGAAAUGCUGUGGGCACCUACACACAUUGGGACAACUAAGAAAGGUGAAGACGGCUAAUUAUGAACCACACAGACUGUGAAGACUACACAACCCAUCGAGUGACCAAGAUACGGACUGCAGUUUUCCACACUGACCUUAUAAGAAAAAAGUGUUAUAAAAAUCAGUCAGGGAUUCACCAUAUGUAGUGAUGCCCUCCAUCACCUCCCUCCAGUAACCUGUAUCCUGCGUCCCUGUGCUGCAGUUCUGGAAGCUUAUUCAUUAGUGCCAGGUCAUGGGUCCUCUUUAGUUUCUCAACUCAGGGUGCUGAGAAAAACAAACAUAAGGCAGAGUUCUGCCUAUGUAAUGUGGGACCUAGCACUGGCUAGGAGGGCAAACUUGUUCUUUUUGGACUGCAUAUCCUUCUGAGGGGAAUGACGAAAGAGUUUGUUGCAAAAGUUUGUGAAGAUUUGCUACAGAGCCAUUUGGGGUGCUAAGACUUAGGGAUUGUGAAUUGGAACAAAAAUCUCAGUAAAACAGUACAAAAAUUAAUAUAUUUUGUAAUUAUAACUGUAAGUAUAAAUUUGUAAAUAUAAAAGAAAAAACCUCACCUGGUCCAAAGGCAAUUUUACAGGAGUGAUUGCUCUGACACAAGUAGCAGGCAGCAAGGGAGGUGCCAGCCUGGGGAAAAUGUGCAUGGAGCCAUUAGCAGGGCAUGCACAGGAAGACAACACUAAAAAAUUCAAGUGAACUCUUCAGCAGAAUAGUAGGCAGCAAGUAUUGCAGCUGACGGCAAUAAAAGUGUUUACCAGACAGAUAAGCAGCAUGUGCUUCUUCAGGUUGGACAGUGACACACAGACCAAGGCAGUACAGGAAUCUAAAUUAUUCACAGUAACAGAAAAGCCAAAGGAAGAGGAUAAAAGUCUAUUACUGGGUAAAAGUAUGUCAAUUCUAUGGCUUCAUCAGGAAAACAUCGUCACUGAAGAAGCAAAGAACAAAAACAGUUUAAGAAAAAUCUCAGGAUAUUUUCCACAGCAUAGUGACAAAUCACGCCUUUUCCAGUUUGUUAGUUAUUACAUAUAUCUCCAGUAAGGGAAGGCUCGGUAUGUAUUUAUCGUUCUCCAUUUACCCUAAGAUGAAAGUCAAUGGAAACUUACGUCUGGCUUUUAGCACAGGGUAGCUGGUGGUGUAUAUUCCCAGCACCUAUUGCCAGUAUAAAUGAGAAAUUUUUCUGAGACUUUGUCUAAAGGUACUAGAAAGGAUGUUUUCUCCUGUGUUGAAUAAAAUUACUAAGAAGAACAUGGGAAGGCCAGUUAGGCAUGGAUGAAUCUGUGAGGACUGAAGAUGCCUGAAAAUGAAAAGUGACACUGGGGAAAAUGUAAGACUUGUCACAUGUGCCAAAAUCAAACUAAAUCAAGCAAAGGCCCAGAAAGCAAUGGUUCCUCAAAAGCUAAGCAGACAUUGCCUUAUGUAGGUUGGAAAAAGCUGUAUCUCCUAUGCUGUUUUUCUUUCUUCUGUGAGCUAGCCUGAAGAGAUGUUACAGAUGAGUGUAUGUGUCUAAAGCACUGAAUUAGUUCUGAUGCAACUGACGUAACUAUAGCUGACAGUGACAUUAUUUAAUGUAAAUAGUUUGCAGUUAAGUAUAGACUUAGGCAUAAUUUUGCCAAUGGAACAGUUCCCACCCUAAUACUUUGGUAGGAAACUGCCAGAUUAAUAAAGAGCUUAUUGAAAAGAGCCUGAUCCAUAUUUAGAACAACCAAGUUCCAGAGCAUGCACAGCGCUGUCACCUGAGGACAUUUUUUCCUACAGAAAACUGAAAUCAAGACUAGCUACAUUAUUAGACACUGGAGACUUACACAAGUGGAGAGUGAGAUAGCAAAGCAAACUCCUCAGUUAAAUGUAUGUUCUCAAAUCCAUCUCCUCCCAGAAUAAGGGUGAGAGCUGGUACAGAACUUCAUGGGGAUUCUGAGCUCCCUGGAAAAUGCAGAUGUGUGUUUUUACAGUAAUUGCUACACAAGUAACCCCUCCAUUUUCUUCCAUACAUCCUCUCCAUACCCUCUGCAGGCCAUCAGCAUUCACUGGUUGCUAUCCCUGACCUAAUGUAUUCUGUCAACUUACAUUACAGCACUGCUCUUUGGUAUGUGUGCAAGACAAUGAUUUUCUUUUGCAUUACGCAAAUAGGACCAGUGACAUUUAAUGCAAACCUGUGGCGUACGCUGCUUUGGGGCCCUUUCAGGUAUUGCAUUUAUGCAAAACCAUGUGUUUGGAAUAUGAAACUUGCUAUGUAUUCAGUGUUUAAUUUAAAUACAGCAGGUCUUGUUAGCUAUUCAAGUAUGAGUUGGGAGAGGUUUUUUGUUAUAUAAAUAAACAGCUAAUCAGAAGGUUGAGCAAACGGUAUGAUUUUUAUUUACAUCACAAGUGGUUUUAAUUCUUAGAAAUAUCCAACUGUAACCGUAUUUUUGUUGGGCAAAAUAUACAAAUACCUAAACAGACAAAAUAAUCUUGGUAUCAAAGGCCAUAGGCUAUUACAGCCUGUACCAGAGAACACUGGAAUUUUCAGCUGAAUGUGAGAAGUUGUGAAAAAGCACAGAAAAGAAUCAUUUGCUUGUCACUUUUUCACAGGUGCACUUCGAGGCAACAGAUGAGAGGCCCCAGCAGUGGCUGAGACCUUGUGCAGUGCUCGGAGGCUCCGGAACAGGUCUGUCGCUCCUCUUCGGAGGAUCGGGCACCUGCCUCUCACAGGCGGUGACAGCGAGCGACGCCAAGGGCAGUGCGCUGGGGGCAGGCCACCUAACAGCACCCGGUAAAAUCCAGCCUGUAAGAAUGCAGCUGCCGAACCUCCCUUAUCCUCGGAGCCACCUACCUGAAUCUUCAAUGAGCUAAAACCACGUGGGCAAAUGGGAGAUGAGGAACUCACGGAGACUUUCACAAGUGGCAGGUGACAAGGGGUCUUGGACGUCUUACCAGUCCACUGCAGGUUUACUCUGGUUUGGAGACUGAAGAUACAAUGCAUGGUUGCAUGGAAUGCAGGUUCUGUCAGAACUAAGCAACUGAAGCAAAGAAGAACCAACAGAGAGUCACAGCCUCAGAGCUGCUGGCAGAAGGCGACCACUGGGGUUUCUAGUCCAGCUCCCAGCUCAGAUCAGGACUAUUACGAUCUCUAAAUCAGGCCAGCCAUGGCUUUGUAUAGUCAAGUCUCAAGACCUCCAAGGAUGAAGAUUUGACAACCUCCCUGGAUGACCUGCUCCGGUGCCACACCACCUCCAGGGGCAACCUAGCGGUGCUGGUACUCAGCAAUAUGCUCAGCUAGAGCCAAAGGCUCAAGGAGGUCACUGCCAGGUGGCUUAGUGGAGCUCUUUCAGAUGUUUUGAAUGAGAUGUAUUGCUUUCCAUAGUUUCUUGUCUAAAGGGAACCCUGACAGAAAAACUGGUGUCUCAGCCACCAUGCACAAGGAACCACGCAGAAGGAAGUCACUGAUGUGCUCAGAUGCUGUACUUCAGGAAACACUCUGGCCUAGUUGUGGCAAUGAUCUCACCUGGGAGGGCCUUUUCAUACAAAUCCUCUUGGUCUCACCAUUCAGGAUGAGCAAAGGCCUUUUGUCUGCUUGGAAAAAUGCACUAGAAGCAGCAGUCACACAGGUAGGUGGAGGACAUUGCACUUAAGAACCUUAAAAUGUUACUGAGCUCUUGUUUAGUCUGUGGAGAUCUCAAAAUGGAAGAAUCCAAA